AGGACGAACGCUGGCGGCGUGCUUAACACAUGCAAGUCGAGCGGAAAGGCCCUUCGGGGUACUCGAGCGGCGAACGGGUGAGUAACACGUGAGCAACCUGCCCUUAGCUUCGGGAUAGCUCCGGGAAACCGGAAUUAAUACCGAAUAUGACUGCGGCUGACAUCAGCCACGGUGGAAAGUUUUUCGGCUAGGGAUGGACUCGCGGCCUAUCAGCUAGUUGGUGAGGUAACGGCCCACCAAGGCGACGGACGGGUA
rnacentral:rRNA from 1 species